GAUGAACGCUGGCGGCGUGCCUAAUACAUGCAAGUCGAGCGAAAAGACGAGGAGCUUGCUCCUCUGACGUUAUAGGCGGACGGGUGAGUAACACGUGGAUAACCUAACUAUAAGACUGGGAUAACUUCGGCAAACCGUAGCUAAUACCGGAUAAUUUAUUGAAUCGCAUGGUUCACUAGUGAAAGAAGGUUUUGCUGUCACUUAUAGAUGGCUCAGGGGUGGAUUAGUAAGUUGGUAGGGUAAAAGAUUACCAAGGCGACGAUUCGUAGCUGACCUGAGAGGAUGACAAGCCAAAUUGGGAAGGAGACCCGGCCCAGAAUACUACGGGAGGCAGCAGUGGGGAAUAUUGGACAAUGGGAGAAAGCCUGAUACAGCAAUGCCGCGUGAGUGAUGAAGGCCUUAGGGUUGUAAAGCUCUUUUAACCGGGAUGAUAAUGACAGUACCGGGAGAAUAAGCGCCGGCUAACUCCGUG
rnacentral:rRNA from 1 species